rnacentral:rRNA from 1 species
UACGUAGGGUGCAAGCGUUGUCCGGAAUUAUUGGGCGUAAAGAGCUCGUAGGCGGUCUGUCGCGUCGGCUGUGAAAACCCGGGGCUCAACCCCGGGCCUGCAGUCGAUACGGGCAGACUAGAGUGCGGUAGGGGAGACUGGAAUUCCUGGUGUAGCGGUGAAAUGCGCAGAUAUCAGGAGGAACACCGGUGGCGAAGGCGGGUCUCUGGGCCGUAACUGACGCUGAGGAGCGAAAGCGUGGGGAGCAAACGGG